UCUAGGUGGAGUGCGUAACAGUACCAUGCCCCCUGUGUUCCAAAUUGGAUCAGGAAAAGCGGUCUUUCCGGGCAACGAUUCAAUCCAAAAGGCAAGAGCUAUUUUAGGAGUACUUUUCAGGAAGGCAAUAUCCCUUUUACUGGUCGGUGGACUAAAAUUUCCCAGUGGGGUUCUCCGAUUUAACUCUUUCUAAAACCUGUUUUUUAGAAGCUAUGAAAAAGGAGAAUAACCUUCCACUUGUCAUGUACAUGCUCUUAAGGUCUUCUAUCUUCUAUGUAAAAGCAUCACAAAAUUACCCAGUCUAUCAUUUAGUGAGGGAUGUUCCAAGUUAUACAACACUGUCACACUUCAGUGUGGUGAAAAAAAUUACUACACAAAUAAAGUGGAUCUUUACAACUUUGGCAUCGUCCUGUGGAAGUUGCUGACCAAUAAAAUGCCAUUAGAAGGCAUGUUGAAUUUUCAAGCUGCAUAUAUAUGCUGCUGCUUUUAAAGUAAGUAGACUAUCAUUUUGCUAUGGAAUGAUGCCACUUCCUAGAAUGUUGUCUGCACCUAAUUACCGAGGUACUCAACCAUAAUGUUGUAGGAACCACUAUUUUCUUGUGAGUUUCAAGUUGAUAUUUGAAUCUGUCUUUUUCUUGUAACUGAAAUCAGUUGCUCGUAUUUCUUCAUACUGUUUAGCAUCCUGCUGAUGUGAUCUGUUGCAUACCUAAAAUGUAUCGAUACAUUUUUUGUGAUUUGAAUAAUCAACAUGGAAUCUUGUUGUACUUCUUUUAUGAGGUCUGAGGGAGAUUGUCGAUACCUUUCAGCUUUGCCGGUAUUUCACUUUACAUCCUUGUAUAAUUGAAGCUCCAAAGUGAAAUAGUAUUCAGAUUGCGAGCUGUUGAGAAGGUGCUACUAUCAGGGGAUCUGGGUUAUCCUAAGAACUUUGCAGGGGUGGAAUAACUACAUCAUAGAAGAGAUAAUUGAACUUAUUAGUGGAUCAUAAGCAUCAUGUAAAUAAAAAAGUUUGGCAUGUAGAUUCAGCUGGUAGAUUUCAUACGCAAAUUAAUCCCAUUAUAACAAACCAUUUUAUGUGAAGGUUACAUUAGGUUAAGUUUCCAUCCAUAUUACUGUUUUGUAGAUUUUGCAGUUUACAACCAGCUAAGAGUCAAGAAUGUACUGAUGAUGCAUUGCAACUAAAACAUUACGUAUAUGAAAAUUUGGCUCCAUUCUUUUCCUAAAUAGAUUGUUAAAACAAAAUUUGUGAAUGAUGACUGCUUUAAUAACAAUCGCAAAUAAUCGCAAAUAUAAUUUUAUUCUUCAAUUAAAUCUGCCCUCUUACAUUGCGGUUCUGGAAUUGAUUACUUAUGUUACCAUAAAAAAUUUCUUGAAUUGUUUAUUCAUGAGGGGAUUAACUCUACCCCAUCAUACAAACUUCUACGUUGAGUUAGAAGGACGAUUUGUCUACUUGAACAUGUUCCUGAUCCCCACUUUCAUGAUACAAGUGUGUACUGUAAACUUUAAUAUUGCUAAUUGCUAGCUUUAUUGGUGUACAUAAACUGAUCACUGAUUUCUUAGCACCUACUAACCUAAUGCAGAAUUUCCUUUUGCUGCCAGAGUUAGCGCUUUCCAGUAUCCACUGAACUUCUGUCGAAAUCUCAAUGAAAUAGUCGUGUUUUCUACGUUUCCACAUGACAAAAUCAGCUUACCAUUGAGCUUGAGUAGGCAGAAAGUCUCAGGGAACAUCAAGAUGUCGCUGGCCGAUGCGUAGUUGCUGCACAAUAUGAUACCAUAGGUGUUUGAGGUGACGUGCCACGGUGGCAUCGGUGAUUCAUACUCCCUUUGUCCAGAAAUACUUGUCGAAGAAAUGCAUAAAAAUGAAUAUAUCUAGAACUAAAAUACAUCUAGAUACAUUCAUUCCUCCGACGAGUAUUUCCGGACGGAGGGAGUAUAUUCUAGGGCAUGGCUGGUAGUGACAUCUCUGCUACUCUAAUGGUGUUCUUCAUAGUAAAUAUACAGGUUCAUUAGUCCACAUAAGUACUUCGUAGUAAAGGUUCCAGAACUUGUGGGUGAUGACGCAUGUGCAAGGGCACAAGAUGCAAAUUCAUGUGAAUAAUUUGACUCAAUAAAGAGAUGCAAUUAAUGUUUGCAAGAAAAAAAGUAACAGACCGCCAAACUUUCAUAUCUCCCUUUCUUUCCUUAGCAUGUUUCUUACUUUUGGAUUUAUAUAUUGUCGGCUCAUAAGAGGAUUGGUCUAGAUAGUGGAUGCUCAAUGAUUCUACAGUUGAGUCAAGCAAAUUCAGUUGAAGAAAUUAAGGAGUUUGUAAUAAUUUUGCGCAGGUGACUGUAUUCCCUUUCUCGUGUUACACUAUUAUGGUUUUUUUAUGAAGCAUCUUAUCUUAAAACUAUUCUGAUCUUUUAGAUCAUGACUCAUGAGGAAAGAGAAUACUAUGGAACAUGAGACCAUUUUUUUUAAUGAAGAGUAGCUUUUUCUGUUGAAGAGAUUAAUGAAAUGAAUGCCCAAAGGAAGCAAGUGUGUACCAAUAUGGGCUCAAUGGCUGAAACCAGUGAAGCAUUCCAUCAAAAGGAACAUGUUAUUUUCUGUUUUGAAUUUCAUCAAGUUUCAUGCUGACCCAUGUUCUCUUUUCUAGACUUUGAAGAAGGGAGUUGGUUUACUUUUCAAAAUUUUGGAAUCCCUUGAUGAGAAUAGAUGAAUGGUUUAAAUCUUGUGAGGAUGAGAGAAUUUCUGGGAAAAUGAAAUGGUGAAUUGUAUGCUGCUAAUGGAAUAUGUCAACAGGCCUAUGAGAAUUGGAUUGAGCUGAGAGCGGAACCAGGUAAAAAGGUAAGAAACUUCUUGUAUUCAAGGGCCGCUUGUAGUGUUCAAUCUGUAGUGCAAUGUUUUAAUGCUAAAUAAAGAAGGCCGGCAUGGUGUUAUUAGAUUAUUCUUUGCCAAGUUUUACACCACCCACGGAGCCUUAUUGUCCGGUUAAAAAAUAAGAAAGCACAGAUACUAGAUAAACCGGAGUGAGAACCUAUGUAGUGUUCGUUCCAAACAUGAGUAAUUACGCUGAUUAAUAGAUUGACUUUACGUUUUUUACCCUAA